ensembl:rRNA 5S_rRNA 5S ribosomal RNA
GCUUACGGUCUCACCGCCUGAUUCACGCCUGCUUCCUUUGAUCUCGGAAGCUAAGAUAGUUUGGGCCUGGUUAGUACUUGGAUGGGAGACCGCCUAGGAAUACCAGGUGCUGUAAGCU